UACGUAGGGACCAAGCGUUGUUCGGAUUUACUGGGCGUAAAGGCGCGUAGGCGGCCUAGCAAGUCACUUGUGAAAUCUCCGGGCUUAACUCGGAACUGCCAAGUGAAACUGCUGGGCUAGAGUGCAGAAGGGGCAACUGGAAUUCUCGGUGUAGCGGUGAAAUGCGUAGAUAUCGAGAGGAACACCUGCGGCGAAGGCGGGUUGCUGGGCUGACACUGACGCUGAUGCGCGAAAGCUAGGGGAGCGAACGGG
rnacentral:rRNA from 1 species